UCUGUUGCCCCAGAGGUUAGAGAGUGUGCGUUCAGAGGAGGCUUCGGACUGCCUGGUAAGGUGCUGCUUUCUACUUUUUAAAAACUGGCCAUUCUGGGUGGGUUUUGCAGCGUGGGUUUGGGCUGGGUGCUGGGGUUAUGUUUCUAUGUUGUGCACCGCACACCCCACCCCACCUCUGCCUUGCCCGCCCGCCCGCCUUCAAGGCAAGCCAGCCGGAGCUGCUCCCUGCAGAGGACGACACCGGCGCCUUCCUUGCCCCAGAGCUUCCAUGGGCAUCUUUGGGGCAGCCGCCUGGGCAAGAAGGCGCGCCGUCUAAAGUCACCCUCGUGGACUGCCCGGAGGGACGGGCGAGAGGGAAGCCGCCUCAGCAGCUGACAGGUAGUGUCCCGUACUUCCUGAAGGUCAAGCUGAAUGGCUCAAGUCUUUGGCAUUGGUUUUCUGCUUAGGUAAGUACUGUAGCUCCAAAACUUUACAUACUGUUCUUAACUCACACUCUCCUAUAUUCUCCAACAGAAUAUAGAUGUACUCUAUCAGCAACAAACAAGACACAUCUACCCAGUUUGUGUUUUAAAAAUGAAGCUGCCAUGGUACUUGUUGGGAACUCAGUAAAUUAAGCACUAAGUGAUUAAGCAUCUUAUUUGUGGGUUUGUUUGGGCUUUUUUGCUUCAUGGGUAAAGCUAGGUCAUGUAGCCUUUUGGUUAAUCCUUUUCUCCAGGUGAGCCAUAUUUAGUUGUCUAUAGGUCUGUCAGGUGAAACUCCUAGAAUGGAAAAUUCCUGCAGUUGAAAUUCAAAACAUCUGAAUGGUACAUUCCUUAAUAACUUUUAUUUCUUAAUUCUUCUUCACUUCUGCCAUUUUUUUAACCUUUCAUGUUAUCUGCCUCUAAUCAUUCUGUUCCCAUAUCUUGUGUGUCUGCUUUUGCAUUUGUUCUUCAGUUGUAUCUCACCUCUACCACACGUUGCCCAAAUGCUUUCAGAGUGGAUACUAUCACUGUAAUAGGCCUUGCACACCUAGUUCUAAUUUGGUAAAAUGAACACCUAGUUCUAAUUUUGUCUGUUCCUAAGAAGCUGGCUGAACAAAAAGCUUUUGUAUGCUAGAAAGUGCUUUUUAAUAUUACUGUUGUAAGUGUUUUGAGUGUUGUUCUUAUGGACAAAUUUGGUUUUAUAUCAUCUGGGGACGAGUAAAUUAAGCACUGAGUGGUUAAACAUCAUAUUAUUGGUGGUGUUUGGGCUCUUUCACUUCAUGGACAAAGCUCCAAGUGUUAAUAUGUCACAUUUCCAUUGGAAGAGACAAUUUGGCCAGCAUUCUUUACAAAAUAAAAGAAAGCCGUAACUGACCA
rnacentral:lncRNA from 1 species